rnacentral:rRNA from 1 species
AAAGAAACUAACAAGGAUUCCCGUAGUAACUGCGAGUGAAGUGGGAAGAGCUCAAAUUUGGAAUCUGGCGGUUCUGGCCGUCCGAGUUGUAAUCUAGAGAAGUGUUACCUGCGCUGGACCGUGUACAAGUCUCCUGGAACGGAGCGUCAUAGAGGGUGAGAAUCCCGUCUCUGACACGGACUACCAGGGCUUUGUGGUAUGCUCUCAAAGAGUCGAGUUGUUUGGGAAUGCAGCUCAAAAUGGGUGGUAAACUCCAUCUAAAGCUAAAUACUGGCGAGAGACCGAUAGUGAACAAGUACCGUGAGGGAAAGAUGAAAAGAACUUUGGAAAGAGAGUUAAACAGUACGUGAAAUUGCUGAAAGGGAAACGCUUGAAGUCAGUCGCGUUGGCUGGGGAUCAGCUUCACAAACAAGUGCGGUGUAUUUCCUGGUUGACGGGUCAGCAUCAAUUUUGACUGCUGGAGAAAGGCUUGAGGAAUGUAGCAGCCCCGGCUGUGUUAUAGCCUCUUGUCAGAUACAGUGGUUGGGAUUGAGGUGUGCAGCACGCCGCGAGGCCGGGGCUUAAAUAGCCCACGUUCGUGCUUAGGAUGUUGACAUA